rnacentral:tRNA from 1 species
CAGAAAAGAGCUUGAGAUAAGCAUUUUAUUUACAUUAAAAAGUUAAUUGUGAAAUUCAAUUUUUUCUGA